UUGGAGGGCAAGUCUGGUGCCAGCAGCGCGGUAAUUCCAGCUCCAAUAGCGUAUAUUAAAGUUGUUGCAGUUAAAAAGCUCGUAGUUGAACUUCGGGGUUUACCCAUUGGUCAGGCUUAAUUGUCUGUACUGGUGAGAUGAAUCUCUACCUUCUGAGGAACUUUCAUGCCAUUUAUUUGGUGUGAUGGGAAAUCAGGACUGUUACUUUGAAAAAAUUAGAGUGUUUAAAGCAGGCUAACGUCUGAAUACAUUAGCAUGGAAUAAUGAAAUAGGACGGACUGAUUCUAUUUCGUUGGUUUCUAGGAUCACCGUAAUGAUUAAUAGGGAUAGUUGGGGGCAUUAGUAUUCAAUUGUCAGAGGUGAAAUUCUUGGAUUUAUUGAAGACUAACUACUGCGAAAGCAUUUGCCAAGGAUGUUUUCAUUAAUCAAGAACGAAAGUUAGGGGAUCGAAGACGAUCAGAUACCGUCGUAGUCUUAACCAUAAACUAUGCCGACUAGGGAUCGGACGAAGUUAAUUUUAUAAUGACGCGUUCGGCGCCUUACGGGAAAC
rnacentral:rRNA from 1 species